rnacentral:rRNA from 2 species
UACGAAGGGGGCUAGCGUUGCUCGGAAUCACUGGGCGUAAAGGGUGCGUAGGCGGGUUUUUAAGUCAGGGGUGAAAUCCUGGAGCUCAACUCCAGAACUGCCUUUGAUACUGGGGAUCUCGAGUCCGGGAGAGGUGAGUGGAACUGCGAGUGUAGAGGUGAAAUUCGUAGAUAUUCGCAAGAACACCAGUGGCGAAGGCGGCUCACUGGCCCGGUACUGACGCUGAGGUGCGAAAGCGUGGGGAGCAAACAGG